CAGGCUUAACACAUGCAAGUCGAGGGGCAGCAUGGUCUUAGCUUGCUAAGGCCGAUGGCGACCGGCGCACGGGUGAGUAACACGUAUCCAACCUGCCGUCUACUCUUGGACAGCCUUCUGAAAGGAAGAUUAAUACAAGAUGGCAUCAUGAGUCCGCAUGUUCACAUGAUUAAAGGUAUUCCGGUAGACGAUGGGGAUGCGUUCCAUUAGAUAGUAGGCGGGGUAACGGCCCACCUAGUCUUCGAUGGAUAGGGGUUCUGAGAGGAAGGUCCCCCACAUUGGAACUGAGACACGGUCCAAACUCCUACGGGAGGCAGCAGUGAGGAAUAUUGGUCAAUGGGCGAGAGCCUGAACCAGCCAAGUAGCGUGAAGGAUGACUGCCCUAUGGGUUGUAAACUUCUUUUAUAAAGGAAUAAAGUCGGGUAUGGAUACCCGUUUGCAUGUACUUUAUGAAUAAGGAUCGGCUAACUCCGUGCCAGCAGCCGCGGUAAUACGGAGGAUCCGAGCGUUAUCCGGAUUUAUUGGGUUUAAAGGGAGCGUAGAUGGAUGUUUAAGUCAGUUGUGAAAGUUUGCGGCUCAACCGUAAAAUUGCAGUUGAUACUGGAUAUCUUGAGUGCAGUUGAGGCAGGCGGAAUUCGUGGUGUAGCGGUGAAAUGCUUAGAUAUCACGAAGAACUCCGAUUGCGAAGGCAGCCUGCUAAGCUGCAACUGACAUUGAGGCUCGAAAGUGUGGGUAUCAAACAGGAUUAGAUACCCUGGUAGUCCACACGGUAAACGAUGAAUACUCGCUGUUUGCGAUAUACUGCAAGCGGCCAAGCGAAAGCGUUAAGUAUUCCACCUGGGGAGUACGCCGGCAACGGUGAAACUCAAAGGAAUUGACGGGGGCCCGCACAAGCGGAGGAACAUGUGGUUUAAUUCGAUGAUACGCGAGGAACCUUACCCGGGCUUAAAUUGCAGAUGAAUUACGGUGAAAGCCGUAAGCCGCAAGGCAUCUGUGAAGGUGCUGCAUGGUUGUCGUCAGCUCGUGCCGUGAGGUGUCGGCUUAAGUGCCAUAACGAGCGCAACCCUUGUUGUCAGUUACUAACAGGUUCCGCUGAGGACUCUGACAAGACUGCCAUCGUAAGAUGUGAGGAAGGUGGGGAUGACGUCAAAUCAGCACGGCCCUUACGUCCGGGGCUACACACGUGUUACAAUGGGGGGUACAGAGGGCCGCUACCACGCGAGUGGAUGCCAAUCCCCAAAACCUCUCUCAGUUCGGACUGGAGUCUGCAACCCGACUCCACGAAGCUGGAUUCGCUAGUAAUCGCGCAUCAGCUACGGCGCGGUGAAUACGUUCCCGGGCCUUGUACACACCGCCCGUCAAGCCAUGGGAGCCGGGGGUACCUGAAGUGCGUAACCGCGAGGAGCGCCCUAGGGUAAAACUGGUGACUGGGGCUAAG
rnacentral:rRNA from 1 species